rnacentral:rRNA from 1 species
CGACCACCGAGAUCUACACUCUUUCCCUACACGACGCUCUUCCGAUCUGCGUUCUGUAAGCCUGCGAAGGUGUCUUGUAAAGGAUGCUGGAGGUAUCAGAAGUGCGAAUGCUGACAUGAGUAGCGAUAAUGCGGGUGAAAAGCCCGCACGCCGUAAGCCCAAGGUUUCCUGUUCAACGUUCAUCGGAGCAGGGUGAGUCGGCCCCUAAGGCGAGGCAGAGAUGCGUAGCUGAUGGGAAGCAGGUUAAUAUUCCUGCACCGUCGUAUGAUGCGAUGGGGGGACGGAUCGCGGAAGGUUGUCUGACUGUUGGAAUAGUCAGUUUUUGACUCAUAGAAGGUGCUUAGGCAAAUCCGGGCACGUAAUUCAAGGGGUCGAGACGAGUCGCCAUGUGCGACGAAGCAAUCGGAAGUGGUUCCAAGAAAAGCCUCUAAGCUUCAGUCAUACGAGACCGUACCGCAAACCGACACAGGUGGGCGAGAUGAGUAUUCUAAGGCGCUUGAGAGAACUCGGGAGAAGGAACUCGGCAAAUUGGUACCGUAACUUCGGGAUAAGGUACGCCCUAGUAGUUUGACCACUUUACUGUGGAAGGAUGAACGGGUUGCAAUAAAAUGGUGGCUGCGACUGUUUAAUAAAAACACAGCACUCUGCAAACACGAAAGUGGACGUAUAGGGUGUGACGCCUGCCCGGUGCUGGAAGAUUAAAUGAUGGGGUGCAAGCUCUUGAUUGAAGUCCCAGUAAACGGCGGCCGUAACAAUAACGGUCCUAAGGUAGCGAAAUUCCUUGUCGGGUAAGUUCCGACCUGCACGAAUGGCGUAACGAUGGCGGCGCUGUCUCCACCCGAGACUCAGUGAAAUUGAAAUCGCUGUGAAGAUGCAGUGUAUCCGCGGCUAGACGGAAAGACCCCGUGAACCUUUACUAUAGCUUUGCACUGGACUUUGAAUUUGCUUGUGUAGGAUAGGUGGGAGGCUUUGAAGCGUGGACGCCAGUUCGCGUGGAGCCAACCUUGAAAUACCACCCUGGCAACUUUGAGGUUCUAACUCAGGUCCGUUAUCCGGAUCGAGGACAGUGUAUGGUGGGUAGUUUGACUGGGGCGGUCUCCUCCUAAAGAGUAACGGAGGAGUACGAAGGUGCGCUCAGACCGGUCGGAAAUCGGUCGUAGAGUAUAAAGGCAAAAGCGCGCUUGACUGCGAGACAGACACGUCGAGCAGGUACGAAAGUAGGUCUUAGUGAUCCGGUGGUUCUGUAUGGAAGGGCCAUCGCUCAACGGAUAAAA